rnacentral:rRNA from 1 species
UACGAAGGGGGCUAGCGUUGUUCGGAAUUACUGGGCGUAAAGCGCGCGCAGGCGGUCUUCCAAGUCAGUGGUGAAAGCCCGGAGCUCAACUCCGGAACUGCCAUUGAAACUGUAAGACUUGAGGAUGAGAGAGGUGAGUGGAAUUCCCAGUGUAGAGGUGAAAUUCGUAGAUAUUGGGAAGAACACCGGUGGCGAAGGCGGCUCACUGGCUCAUAUCUGACGCUCAGGCACGAAAGCGUGGGGAGCAAACAGG